rnacentral:lncRNA from 1 species
GGGCUCCAAGUAGUCGACCCCGAACAAAGUCUUCUUCGGCACACCCACCGGUAUCCUAGGCAGCUCUCGGUGGAUGAUCGUCACCCUCGGCCGAGAGGGACCGGCAAUGCCCUCACCACGAUCGGAGGUGGAGGCCUCCGGCUGAAGCUCAAAAGGACCGGCGCGGGUACCGUCCUUAUAAAUCACGGCCAAGGGAAGCGGUUGCCCCGUCAUAAACCCCUUGCCGAUGCCAUGGGUGGGAACAGAGUUCACCUCCUCACCGAAUAACUCAACAUCGGUGUCUUCUCCACCCUCGGCAUCGAGGCUCGCAGCCCCGCUGGAUAUGUCCCAGUCCGAUGACUCCCCAUUGAAUGCGUUGGGCUCAUGCCGAACGGCGACUCGCUAUCGGACAUCUGCUAAACAAAGAAAGGGAAGCUAAGGCCCGUG